rnacentral:lncRNA from 1 species
AAGAGAUGAGACCCAGAAGCACUGCACAGCAGUGGGGAAACCAUCUCCAAACUCAGAGGUUAUCAAUGUGAUGUGCGCUGGCAGAACCACCCCAUGUGCAGGGAGGUGAUGCCCCAUCACCAGUUCGUCCAGCUCCAACCUCACCCUCCCAGGGCUGCGAGUAAAGAACUGACCAUGGUCCUGACCGCUUCAGGCUCAGGACACGCUGCACCAAGCAGGUCCCAGACCCAGCUUCAGAGCACACGAGCACAGCUCAUCACAUCCCAACCAAGACUUGAAUCUGGGCCACAACCCCAGCAGGUGACACAGGCAGUGACAACCAGCACCUGGCAUAGUUCAUGCACUGCCACCCCCAUCACAGGUCCCACGUGCUGAGCCAGUGUCACCUGGAGCUGCAGCCCCACCAGGACCCCGGGUCUGACUAACAGCUGUCCAACACCACACCCACCUCACUCCUUGCCCAGAUGGGUGACAGGCACCAGACCACCAGCUGAGAAGAGCCGGACAUGAUGCCUUCAGAGCUCACUCGACAGGAAACCACAUCCCACUGUGGGAAUCCAUCCUCCCUUCCCUCAAUUUGGUAGAAGAAUACCACCCAAAAUGGCAAAACAUGGCUGCACCCAGUGUUCUGGAGUUUGGUGUCACCACCAGGACAAGCCCUGUGCCCACACACCGAUGUUCCCUGACUCACCCACUGAGGACCACGAUGAAGUCCAUGACGUUCCAGCCAUUGCGUAGGUAUGAGCCCUUGUGGAAAACGAAGCCCAGAGCCACGAUCUUAAUCCCAGCCUCAAAGCAGAAAAUCCCAAUAAAGUACGGCUCCGUCUUCUCCUACAGAGAGGAACCAGGGGCACAGUGAGAGAGAAGCACAGGGCAAACAGCACCAUGCAUUUCACAUGAGGUGGCUUCAUCAUGCACCAACCCCAUUUCCCUGUCCCAUCCCACCUUCCUCAUCCAGGAGCUUCCCCAGCCCUUCCUCCGACAGCAUCAGUUUGGAGACCAGAAAUACAGAGCUGUGACAUACUUCAGUGCCACUUUUCAGGGUUUUUAAACCUUCCUGGAUCCUUUCCAUGGUGGAGCCACAAAGGCCAGUGGGGUCCCCUCCUGACCCACCACCCCCAAAAUGAGCAGAAAUCAUCUGUUGGGAAAGGGUCCCCGACAAGGAUGCUCACCAGUCUCCGUGACAUGGGUGUCUUGUCGUCCUCUGGGAGGUGCUGCUCCAGGGCCAGCACGAUGCAGUUGGCAAUUAUGGUUGCCAGGAUCAUAUACUCGAAGGGAGUGGAAGAAGUCAAG